GGGGAUGUAUAUAUUCGACGGGAAGUAGCAACUUAGAGUGCAAGCCGGUGUUGAUCGAGUCACCGAAAAGAGCGAUCAAAGCAAUAAAAGCCAACAAAGAUUUGGCCGUCCGUUACGCAUACGCUUAACCGGACCAUCUUGUUAUCUCUCUCUUGAUGGGGCUAACAAGGUGUCAUAGCAGUCAAGAUGAUCUAAGUAGGACCGGUCGGCCUACUCAAGAUCAAAAACUAAUCGACCUCUACCUUUAGGCCUAUCCGCUAGUCGUAAAGCUUGAAGGGAAACCAUUCGGCUAGCUAAGCUUGUAGAUCGCUAAGAAGCUUUCUUUUCGGACCCCGGUGAAAAGCCGGGCAUCUCCACCA
rnacentral:tmRNA from 1 species